AGGGGUAUAGUUCUUCGGAACUAGAGACCGGCGCACGGGUGCGUAACGCGUAUGCAAUCUACCUUUUACAGAGGGAUAGCCCAGAGAAAUUUGGAUUAAUACCUCAUAGUAUGUGAGAAUCGCAUGGUUUUCACAUUAAAGUUCCAACGGUAAAAGAUGAGCAUGCGUCCCAUUAGCUAGAUGGUAAGGUAACGGCUUACCAUGGCGACGAUGGGUAGGGGUCCUGAGAGGGAGAUCCCCCACACUGGUACUGAGACACGGACCAGACUCCUACGGGAGGCAGCAGUGAGGAAUAUUGGACAAUGGGCGCAAGCCUGAUCCAGCCAUGCCGCGUGCAGGAUGACGGUCCUAUGGAUUGUAAACUGCUUUUGUACAGGAAGAAACACUCCCUCGUGAGGGAGCUUGACGGUACUGUAAGAAUAAGGAUCGGCUAACUCCGUGCCAGCAGCCGCGGUAAUACGGAGGAUCCAAGCGUUAUCCGGAAUCAUUGGGUUUAAAGGGUCCGUAGGCGGUUUAAUAAGUCAGUGGUGAAAGCCCAUCGCUCAACGGUGGAACGGCCAUUGAUACUGUUAAACUUGAAUUAUUAGGAAGUAACUAGAAUAUGUAGUGUAGCGGUGAAAUGCUUAGAGAUUACAUGGAAUACCAAUUGCGAAGGCAGGUUACUACUAAUGGAUUGACGCUGAUGGACGAAAGCGUGGGUAGCGAACAGGAUUAGAUACCCUGGUAGUCCACGCCGUAAACGAUGGAUACUAGCUGUUGGGAGCAAUCUCAGUGGCUAAGCGAAAGUGAUAAGUAUCCCACCUGGGGAGUACGU
rnacentral:rRNA from 1 species